CGCGGCUUCUGGGAACCGUGCGCGCUCACAGGCGGACUUGGGCCUCGAACAAGGUACGCUAUUUGAAGAACAGGUUUCCAUGCUCUUAGAGGAGCAUCAGAAAAUGAACAAACCCCAGAAGUCCAGAAAUUAAGAG